rnacentral:lncRNA from 1 species
AAAUUUUAAAAUAUGACGAUGCUAGCAGUUACCGAGCACUUACACAGAUACACAUGGAAGUGUUUGAAAGCCACGUCUAUCAGCGGAUCCCUAAUAUAUCUGCUCAUAGACCGAUCCGCUGAUAAAUGCGGCUUUCAAACACUUCCGUGUAUAUCUGUGCAAGCGCUCGGUAACUGCUAGCGGGAAAUGCUGGUAUCGUCACAUUUUUUAAAUUUCAGUUCCAAUGUGGGUACUUCUGACAACACUAGUUCUUGUACUGGGUUCAUAUUAUUUUGUCAUAAACAUUUUCUACGCAGAUUGAAAAUUGAAAUUCAACUUCAUUUACCACUUUUGAGUUCAGUCGCAUAUCUGGCAAAAACCUGCAAACCGAAUUCUUUCAAGAACUGGACAGAUUCACUCAACGGUUCAUUGAUAUCUUCAAGGCCAAAGGGGGAGACAUUGGAUGUAAGCUUAAGAAGAUUCUGCAACAGAUUGAAAAUGAGGUAAGCUACACAGACACAUUCCUUAAUUUUUUUUACUUUACUUUUUUUUUUUUUUUAGUUUAUUUUAGUCAGAGUUCAGUCGCAUAUCUAGGCAAAAACCUAGACAACCGAAUUCUUUCAAGAACUGGACAGAUUCACUCAACGGUUCAUUGAUAUCUUCAAGGCCAAAGGGGGAGACAUUGGAUGUAAGCUUAAGAAGAUUCUGCAACAGAUUGAAAAUGAGGUAAGCUACACAGACACAUCCAAUUUUUUUUUUUUCUAGGAAAAAAACUGUUGGUUUUGUUGUGUUUUUUUGCUCUGUGUUGUGUUUGUGCUAUGAGUGCUAUUAACUCUUACUUUUUACAAUGUUACAUACCUUUACAGAAAUCUGACAUCGUUGGGAGGCGAACAGCCGUUCUUCAUGGCCUUCCACUCCUCCUUGGAGAAGACCCGACCGAUUUUUACACGACAUGUUUUGUAAGUAGCUUUGUCUGUGAUAUUCUGGGUAUUUAAUGUGUUGCAAACACUUCUUAAACCAAUUUUGCGACCUGAUAGGAAACGUAAUGAAGAAAGAUAAAUAAAAAUGAGGAUACAGAAAAAGUGAAAGAUAAAUU